rnacentral:rRNA from 1 species
GACGAACGCUGGCGGCGUGCUUAACACAUGCAAGUCGAACGGAAAGGCCCUGCUUGCCGGGUACUCGAGUGGCGAACGGGUGAGUAACACGUGGGUGAUCUGCCCUGCACUUCGGGAUAAGCCUGGUAAACUGGGUCUAAUACCUGAUAGGAGCCAUUUUUAGCGUGAUGGUUGGAAAGUUUUUUCGGUGUAGGAUGAGCUCGCGGCCUAUCAGCUUGUUGGUGGGGUAAUGGCCUACCAAGGCGGCGGCGGGUAGCCGGCCUGAGAGGGUGGCCGGCCACAUUGGGACUGAGAGACGGACCAGACUCCUACGGGAGGAAGCAGUGGGGAAUAUUGCACAAUGGGCGCAAGCCUGAUGAAGCGACGCCGCGUGGGGGAUGACGGCCUUCGGGUUGUAAACUCCUUACGCUAGGGACGAAGCUUUGUGGGACGGUACCUAGAUAAGAAGCACCGGCUAACUA